rnacentral:lncRNA from 1 species
CGGAGGAACGCUAACAGAUGAUCAGUGUUGUGUAACUGUUCAUUUGUAGCGACUUUUUCACUCGCGAAGCGGUGAUGUAAUUAUACACCCUGGAACCGUUUAUUUUAAAGAAAAGUCUUUAAAGUUCGAGGAAGUUUCAAAUGGAAUCAAGAAAAAAACAAUAGUUACUAAAGACCCUUCUCUUCAAAGCGAGUUUAAGCGGAGUCACACAGUCAUGUUGGUGUGGACUGACUCGAGGAAGACAGAUGAGUAGAAGAUGACCAAACAUCCCUUUAAGACACGCCGUCUCCUGUCUUCCCCUGAGAGAUGUGCUCGGCGCCGGAGGACUCAGACCUACCUGUGAUUCAGGAGCACAUCUGGCCCACCUGACUAUUACACAUGGUGUGUCUCACUGGCAUCACAGGAGCGCAGCAAGUGUGUGUGUGUGUGUGUGUGUGUGGAAGGAGAAAGACUCGUUGAUGACAUAA